rnacentral:rRNA from 1 species
UGCAGUCGAACGGUGAAGCCAAGCUUGCUUGGUGGAUCAGUGGCGAACGGGUGAGUAACACGUGAGCAACCUGCCCUGGACUCUGGGAUAAGCGCUGGAAACGGCGUCUAAUACUGGAUAUGAGCUCUCAUCGCAUGGUGGGGGUUGGAAAGAUUUUUCGGUCUGGGAUGGGCUCGCGGCCUAUCAGCUUGUUGGUGAGGUAAUGGCUCACCAAGGCGUCGACGGGUAGCCGGCCUGAGAGGGUGACCGGCCACACUGGGACUGAGACACGGCCCAGACUCCUACGGGAGGCAGCAGUGGGGAAUAUUGCACAAUGGGCGGAAGCCUGAUGCAGCAACGCCGCGUGAGGGAUGACGGCCUUCGGGUUGUAAACCUCUUUUAGCAGGGAAGAAGCGAGAGUGACGGUACCUGCAGAAAAAGCGCCGGCUAACUACGUGCCAGCAGCCGCGGUAAUACGUAGGGCGCAAGCGUUAUCCGGAAUUAUUGGGCGUAAAGAGCUCGUAGGCGGUUUGUCGCGUCUGCUGUGAAAUCCCGAGGCUCAACCUCGGGCCUGCAGUGGGUACGGGCAGACUAGAGUGCGGUAGGGGAGAUUGGAAUUCCUGGUGUAGCGGUGGAAUGCGCAGAUAUCAGGAGGAACACCGAUGGCGAAGGCAGAUCUCUGGGCCGUAACUGACGCUGAGGAGCGAAAGGGUGGGGAGCAAACAGGCUUAGAUACCCUGGUAGUCCACCCCGUAAACGUUGGGAACUAGUUGUGGGGACCAUUCCACGGUUUCCGUGACGCAGCUAACGCAUUAAGUUCCCCGCCUGGGGAGUACGGCCGCAAGGCUAAAACUCAAAGGAAUUGACGGGGACCCGCACAAGCGGCGGAGCAUGCGGAUUAAUUCGAUGCAACGCGAAGAACCUUACCAAGGCUUGACAUACACCAGAACACCGUAGAAAUACGGGACUCUUUGGACACUGGUGAACAGGUGGUGCAUGGUUGUCGUCAGCUCGUGUCGUGAGAUGUUGGGUUAAGUCCCGCAACGAGCGCAACCCUCGUUCUAUGUUGCCAGCACGUAAUGGUGGGAACUCAUGGGAUACUGCCGGGGUCAACUCGGAGGAAGGUGGGGAUGACGUCAAAUCAUCAUGCCCCUUAUGUCUUGGGCUUCACGCAUGCUACAAUGGCCGGUACAAAGGGCUGCAAUACCGUGAGGUGGAGCGAAUCCCAAAAAGCCGGUCCCAGUUCGGAUUGAGGUCUGCAACUCGACCUCAUGAAGUCGGAGUCGCUAGUAAUCGCAGAUCAGCAACGCUGCGGUGAAUACGUUCCCGGGUCUUGUACACACCGCCCGUCAAGUCAUGAAAGUCGGUAACACCUGAAGCCGGUGGCCCAACCCUUGUGGA